AGCGAUGGAUCUCUUGGUUCUCUUGCAUUCGUUGAAGGUCGCAGCGAAUUGCGAAAUGUUGGUCGUGUGAAUUGCAAGACACAUUGGCCCCUUUUCUGGCUGCGGAACACCCUUACUCACUGAACGUAUAUAUCGCUUAGCAGAUUAAUCUAUGU
rnacentral:rRNA from 1 species